rnacentral:rRNA from 1 species
UACGUAGGGUGCGAGCGUUGUCCGGAAUUAUUGGGCGUAAAGGGCUCGUAGGCGGUCUGUUGCGUCGGCUGUGAAAACCCGGGGCUCAACCCCGGGCCUGCAGCCGAUACGGGCAGACUAGAGUUCGGCAGGGGAGACUGGAAUUCCUGGUGUAGCGGUGAAAUGCGCAGAUAUCAGGAGGAACACCGGUGGCGAAGGCGGGUCUCUGGGCCGAUACUGACGCUGAGGAGCGAAAGCGUGGGGAGCGAACAGG